rnacentral:rRNA from 1 species
UACGUAGGGGGCAAGCGUUAUCCGGAUUUAUUGGGUUUAAAGGGUGCGCAGGCGGUCUGUUAAGUCAGCGGUCAAAGCCCGGGGCUCAACCCCGGCCCGCCGUUGAAACUGGCAGUCUCGAGUUGGAGAGAAGUAUGCGGAAUGCGCGGUGUAGCGGUGAAAUGCGUAGAUAUUAGGAGGAACACCAGUGGCGAAGGCGGCUUACUGGACGAUGACUGACGCUGAGGCUCGAAAGCGUGGGGAGCAAACAGG